UACGAAGGGUGCAAGCGUUACUCGGAAUUACUGGGCGUAAAGCGUGCGUAGGUGGUUGUUUAAGUCUGCUGUGAAAGCCCUGGGCUCAACCUGGGAAUUGCAGUGGAUACUGGGCGACUAGAGUGUGGUAGAGGAUAGUGGAAUUUCCGGUGUAGCAGUGAAAUGCGUAGAGAUCGGAAGGAACAUCUGUGGCGAAGGCGACUAUCUGGGCCAACACUGACACUGAGGCACGAAAGCGUGGGGAGCAAGCAGG
rnacentral:rRNA from 1 species